GACCUCCCCGCUCGGUGGGUCGAGGUAGCUCCCUGGGCUUCCCAAAGACGAGACGUUGGUGAUGUUCUGCUGCUGCCGGGCGGGCCAGCCUGUAACUCAGGCGUUGGCGGGAGCCUCGUGCUCCGCGGGGCUUCUUGAAGAGGGUGAGGUGGGGGGUACGUCCUGUAGGCAGGGCUGUGUGUGCCCCCCGUGUGUGCUUGGUGAGCUGCGUUCUGAGAGACCCCCUGUACUCAGGUGGGAAUGUGGCCCCGGCCUUUCAGAGGCGCGGGGCCGUGAGAUGCGGGUGGGGCUUGCGCCCUCCCUGGAAUCGGGGCUGGGAUCCCGACUGCGGCCUUUGGCCGUGCCGCCCCGCUGCCUGGCUGCUGAGAGUUGCUCCUGCCGCUGGGGGGGAAACCGAGCUCUGUGGCUCCAGGGGUGUUGUCCACCCGCCUGUAAUCAGGGUCUGGGUGCGCGAGCGUUUGUGCUCUGCUGGCAGCCUGUGUGGGGUGACCGCCCCGCUAGCGGGGUGUGGGUCGAGGUGCCCCGGACUGGGAGAGAAGGAGCCUCCCUCGGCCGUAGGGAUGGGGGCUGCCCUGUAAGUCAGGGAGCAUCUGUGCCCGGAGUCCCAGGCCCUUUUCGAUGGCGGCAGUGGCCGGGGGUCCCCUGUAAGCAGGGAAGCUGACUCUUUGGCUGCUGCUUUUUGUGUGCCCAGCCCCAUUUGCCCGGUCUGCCCGCCUCUGUGAUCCCCCGCAGCACUGGCUGGAAGUCCGCCGCGUGUCAGUGAGGAGCUGCUGCAGAAGGAAGAAGAAGAAGCGGCGUGGGGAGCUGGGAGGCAGGAGCAAGCAAGAAGAGGAAGCGGAAGCGUGCAGAUGCGGGGGGGAAGGAGAGAGGCUCCCUGGGCAAAGCACCUGUCCCGUUAGCAGGGGCACAGUCACGUUUGAGUUGAGAGCUGCCGGCGCCUUUGGUGACCAGGCUGGCGUUGUGCUGGGCGACCUCCCGUAAGCGGGGCUCGGGUCUUUGCUGUAGUUGGCCUUUUGCCUUGCUGCUCCUUUGGCUGCCUGGGGAGCGUGGCCCCCUGUAACGGAGGGCGAGAGCCACCUCUCCGCACCUGAGUGGGAAAUGGAGCUCGCCGGACCCCGAGGCCACCCUGUAAGCAGGGUAGUGCCGUUUCCCUGCCCCUCUUCCUCCCCCGGCCCCUCGGCAUCGUUGCCUGAUGGUGGCUUGUCAACGCGACGGCCCCGUACUCGGGGUGUGCGUCACGGCAUUUGGCCGCUGGCUUUACCUGAGAAGCCCCUUGGCACGUUGAGGUCUGUGGCCUCCGUGCAGCCUAGGGACAGGUCACAGGCUCUUGUCUGUUGCCCGUGGUUGUGGGUUUAUUCCCAGGUGUUGGCUGUGCUGCGUUGUCCUUCCCUUCUGGAAAGUCGUGCCUGUGUGUGCGUGUUCCCCUUCCUUUCCUUGUUUGUGUUUGUGGAGUGGUUGAGCGGCUGUGCUUUCCCUUUAGGCCUCCACAAAGAUGGCUGCAGCUUAGCUUUGACUUCCCGGGGGGAAUGGAGGACUUUGGUGCAUGCCGCAAAAGGGGUGUUCCCUCUUAGUCCUGCGAGCGCAGCGAGUGUCCUGUCUUCC
ensembl:lncRNA